GGUUAAUGACACAUAUAGCGGAAGUGCUGUGACGUAAUGAGUCACGUGACAAACACCGACAAGUCCCACAUUUUGCAGGCAGGGUCUUCGGUGGACAUGACGCGCAGCGAGGAGGAGUCCCUGGUGGACGGGCCGCUCAUUUCAGCUGACGCCCUCCACGCCGCCAUCAGGAGAGAGUUCCGCACCGUGCCCACCGCCUGCCACGCCGUUCUGCUGUCUCUGCUACAUGUGGUUUACGUGGCCCUGUCUGUGUGCAUGGCUGUGAUGUGCGUGUUGAAGCUCGGCCAGGAGGAGGUAUGUGCCAGCAUCCUGGGCCCCGUGCGGGGUGACAGCGCGGUGGUCUUCGGCAAGGCGGUCCUGUGGGUUCUGGUUCUGGUGUUCACCUGCUGCGCACAGCACCACCACAGCCGGACCCGCAGCAGAGGCUACCUACGUUUCUACAGAAGGACCAGCAGACUCAAGCAGCUGCCUCUCGCGGUGCACUCCACAGGGAAUGUGACGCUGUUGGUCGUCAUGGCAGCACGACUAUCAGCCACUCUGCACACCUACAUACUGAUCAGUGUCUUGGCCUUGGAGCUACUUGUGGCAUUGCCCUGCCUCAUCUGUUACACAGUCAAAGUGAUGAUCUUCAAUGCGGAGCGAGCCCCGCCCGACGUCAGCCAGGAAGAACACUUGCACAACUUCAGUGUUGCGAGCCUGCCCAUGGAGACGGGAUUCAGAGAGGUGUCCUACCUGGAGGAGGUGGUGGAGAAGCAGGCAGACCUGAUCGAGUACCUGAAGCAGCACAACAGCUUACUGAGCAGGAGGCUGCUAAACCUCACCGCUCAACACUGAAUACCAUCAUCACCAUUCUAGACCCCCACUAAAACGAUGUGGGGGUGGGGUGGGGGUGGUAGUUGCACUGAAAAUGGCGGACAUUUUAAGAGGCGUCGCGGCUCACAGAUCACAGGGGUGCUAGACUAUGACUACUACGACGACCCAUGCCCAAAAUUCAAAAGAAAGCCACAUUAUUUGGUUUGAAGGAGCCAUUUUGAGGAUGAAUGCUACGAAAAUGUGGCCUCGAAAGUUAGAAAAAAUGAGCCCCCCGUCACCAGCUUCACCAAUCGACACAAAAUUGGGUGGACAUGUCGAUCAUAACAGAAUGCACAAAAAAAGUCCCAAAGACCAAUGCCUAAAAUUGAGCAGGAAGUUGGACAUUUUGGUUUGAAGCAGCCAAAAUAAUCGGGAAGUCUAAAAAAAAAAAUUCACCCCUGUCACCAGUUCCACCAAUGGACCCGAAAUUGGGGGAUUACAUCUAUCAUAAUCGGACAUAUUAAAAGGUCUCAAGGACCCCUGCCCAAAACGGAAUCAAUCGGAAAUGUUGAUUUGAAGCAGCCAAUCGGAGGGAGAAUUAUAUGGAAAAAAAACUAUCCCCCCCGUGACCAGUUUGACCGGUCGCAUGAACUUGGGUGGACAUGUCUGUCAUAACAGGACACACAAAAAAGGACCCAUGCCCCAGAUUGAACAGGAAGUUGUCACUUUUGCUUUAAAGCAGCCAUUUUGGGCAAAUUCUUUCGCUCCAGCUAGGGGAUUUAAUUAAAUGAGUAGUUUUGCCACCCAUGGCCUCCUUAAAAACACCACAAGUCCUUACCGGUCUCCUCAGGGGAAGGGGACUCUGGAGUGCAGAGGCAGGCAGCGUCUGUACAGGCAAAAGUGUCUGUGGUACUUUUUCCUCAGAUUUAGGAAAUCUGCAAGAGAAAACAGUUGCUUUGGAGUUUUAAAUGUUCUCUAUUAUUACUUUAUGUAUCGUAUAUGAGUCAUUUUCAUAUAAUUUGAUCAAUAACAGUAAAGACAUACCCCACUGAAUUUCAUUUUGAAAAAUCACUUAAUUUUACUGAUAUGAGUACUGUGUUUAUUAUUGGCAGUUUUUAGAAUUUGAAAGGUAAUAAUUG